UGAUGGCGCUAAGCCAGCCAAACAGCGCCAGACAGAUAACACCUGCGAUCCAGACCGGCAUGAUGGCGAACAGCC
rnacentral:tRNA from 1 species